rnacentral:lncRNA from 1 species
CCGUGAAAAUGUCAUGUCGCCGUGCGGCCGUCUAAUCACCAGGGUUGACCCGGCCCUCGGCGGGACAAUGCCCCUAGGUAACUGUGCCGCAUGUCCGUGUCAGAGCUGACAACGUCUGGCGGCUGUACGGCGGUUGGAGGAGUCAGCCGACCCUAGGUCGGCAGCCAGCGGAGUGGCGUCGGGUUCCUCCGGUCGGUCGGCGAGCUUUAUGUAAGUCGGGCCUCAGGCCCCCCGGGUUCAGUCGGUCGGGAUGGAUACGCCCG